rnacentral:rRNA from 1 species
UGGGGAAUAUUGGACAAUGGGCGCAAGCCUGAUCCAGCCAUGCCGCGUGAGUGAUGAAGGCCCUAGGGUUGUAAAGCUCUUUCACUGGUGAAGAUAAUGACGGUAACCGGAGAAGAAGCCCCGGCUAACUUCGUGCCAGCAGCCGCGGUAAUACGAAGGGGGCUAGCGUUGUUCGGAUUUACUGGGCGUAAAGCGCACGUAGGCGGACUUUUAAGUCAGGGGUGAAAUCCCGGGGCUCAACCCCGGAACUGCCUUUGAUACUGGAAGUCUUGAGUAUGGUAGAGGUGAGUGGAAUUCCGAGUGUAGAGGUGAAAUUCGUAGAUAUUCGGAGGAACACCAGUGGCGAAGGCGGCUCACUGGACCGUUACUGACGCUGAGGUGCGAAAGCGUGGGGAGCGAACAGG